AAUGCACCAAUUUGUAAGUCGCUCUGGAUAAGAACGUCUGCUAAAUGAUGUAAA
rfam:Salmo salar isolate Sally breed double haploid chromosome ssa27, whole genome shotgun sequence.